GCACAGGGAACACAUUGUUAGUAAUAGAAGUAUGAAGUUUUGAAUUACAGUAUGGCUCAUAUACAGUACAUACAUACAGUAUAAUACAGAGCAGUGGAAUAGUAAGCAUGAUCCAUCAAUAUCUCAACUAGUUAUAUUUCAUGUCAGCCGCAUCACAGAGUUUUGUAAUGACGUCUGUAACUUGACACCUGUAACUGUGUGCAGGUUUCACCUGUAACUUGACACCUGUAACUGUGUGCUGGUUUCACCUGUAACUUGACACCUGUAACUGUGUGUGCAGGUUUCACCUGUAACUUGACACCUGUAACUGUGUGUGCAGGUUUCACCUGUAACUUGACACCUGUAACUGUGUGUGCAGGUUUCACCUGUAACUUGACACCUGUAACUGUGUGUGCAGGUUUCACCUGUAACUUGACACCUGUAACUGUGUGUGCAGGUUUCACCUGUAACUUGACACCUGUAACUGUGUGUGCAGGUUUCACCUGUAACUUGACACCUGUAACUGUGUGUGCAGGUUUCACCUGUAACUUGACACCUGUAACCGUGUGCAGGUUUCACCUGUAACUUGACACCUGUAACUGUGUGUGCAGGUUUCACCUGUAACUUGACACCUGUAACCGUGUGCAGGUUUCACCUGUAACUUGACACCUGUAACUGUGUGUGCAGGUUUCACCUGUAACUUGACACCUGUAACUGUGUGUGCAGGUUUCACCUGUAACUUGACACCUGUAACCGUGUGCAGGUUUCACCUGUAACUUGACACCUGUAACCGUGUGCAGGUUUCACCUGUAACUUGACACCUGUAACUGUGUGUGCAGGUUUCACCUGUAACUUGACACCUGUAACUGUGUGUGCAGGUUUCACCUGUAACUUGACACCUGUAACCGUGUGCAGGUUUCACCUGUAACUUGACACCUGUAACCGUGUGCAGGUUUCACCUGUAACUUGACACCUGUAACUGUGUGUGCAGGUUUCACCUGUAACUUGACACCUGUAACUGUGUGUGCAGGUUUCACCUGUAACUUGACACCUGUAACUGUGUGUGCAGGUUUCACCUGUAACUUGACACCUGUAACUGUGUGUGCAGGUUUCACCUGUAACUUGACACCUGUAACUGUGUGUGCAGGUUUCACCUGUAACUUGACACCUGUAAC